GUGACCCCUAGGACACUCCUUUUACCUUUGGUCAUUGACAGCAAUUCUGUGAUGAGAUUAACCAAGGAAAGCAUGGUAAACAAAUAAAAUAAGGGUCUUUAUUUGGAUGAAAGUAUUCAAGAGAACAAUUUAUACGUUUCUUAAGAAUUUCAGAUUUUGCAACACGAGAGUCUGAAAGACAGGCCAACACAGGCGGCUCUUUGGAAACAAGAGACCUGGUACUUUCAACAGCCAAAAAGCUGGCUAAACACCAGAAGGAGGGGAGAGACACAUCAGUUGGAUACAUGGUGAUGUCAUUCAAAAAGCAAAGAAAUAUGGAAGACCAGAUUGAGGGCAGAAAAACAGGUAAAUAUGGGUGUCAAAUAUUGCUCUAUUCUUUUCUUGUAUUUGAUUUUUUUCAAUUUUCUUG